rnacentral:rRNA from 1 species
GGACUACUAGGGUUUCUAAUCCCGUUCGCUCCCCUAGCUUUCGCACCCGAGCGUCAGGAACUUGCCAGGAUGGUGCCUUCGCCUUUGGUGUUCUUCCGGAUCUCUACGCAUUUCACCACUCCACCCGGAAUUCCCCAUCCCUCUCAAGCCCUCAAGUCUGCCCGUUUCCUCACGUCUGAUCCAGGUAAGCUGGACCCUGUCCAUGACGACGCAGCAAACCGCCUGCGUGCGCUUUACGCCCAGUAACUCCGGACAACGCUCGCCUCCUACGUAUUACCGCGGCUGCUGGCAC